rnacentral:rRNA from 1 species
CCUACGGGUGGCAGCAGUCGAGAAUCAUUCACAAUGGGGGAAACCCUGAUGGUGCGACGCCGCGUGGGGGAAUGAAGGUCUUCGGAUUGUAAACCCCUGUCAUGUGGGAGCAAAUUAAAAAGAUAGUACCACAAGAGGAAGAGACGGCUAACUCUGUGCCAGCAGCCGCGGUAAUACAGAGGGCUCAAGCGUUGUUCGGAAUCACUGGGCGUAAGGCGUGCGUAGGCUGUUUCGUAAGUCGUGUGUGAAAGGCGCGGGCUCAACCCGCGGACGGCACAUGAUACUGCGAGACUAGAGUAAUGGAGGGGGAACCGGAAUUCUCGGUGUAGCAGUGAAAUGCGUAGAUAUCGAGAGGAACACUCGUGGCGAAGGCGGGUUCCUGGACAUUAACUGACGCUGAGGCACGAAGGCCAGGGGAGCGAAAGGGAUUAGAUACCCCGGUAGUC